AGUACCUGCAGCACAGAUGCACAAAACUCUACCAAGCUCUUGGAAAUUAUUGUGAGAAAUGAAUUCAGUUUCUUGGGGGCAGCUUGGUUCUUUGUGUUCCAACAAGAAAGAUUUGAUAAGAACAGAGAGUACUUUGCAGACACAUCACAGCCUCAGUCACAUGUUUAAAUCCUUCCUUAAGUAGCUACAAACCCGGUGUGAUUCAAUGCCACUCAGUGGCACGGUGGUGGAAAGGAUGCUCCAGGCAAAAGCAGAAAUACUUCUGCCCUAAAAUCAUAACCUAUUUAUCUUCCAAACUAUCUAAGCAUAUCACAUGCCAUAAACAAUUCCUGAGCUAGGAACUAAUCCUUUUAGAAGAGGAAAAGAAGGUGCACUUGAGGCAGAGCCUGAACCAAGAUGAGCAAUUAACUUAUACCAAAAGGCCCUUCUCACUUCUAUCCCUGCUGCUGGAAGUUUUUUAAAGGAUAUUAUUUUUGUUGUGUUGCUCAGCAGGACUUGGAAUUCUUGAAGCAGGUUUUGAUGUCUGAGAGGAAGGGAUUCAUCUCCCUCACAACAGGAGCAGCUGCAGGAAGUUCUACUGCAGGAUGAGGCUUAAGGAGUUCUCCACGGAAAGAGAAAGGACAGGCAAGAGGAAGAGUGGAAAUUGAUUUUCAGAAGUGCUUUGACCUGCAGCGCUGUCAGCCGCCACCUCCUCCAGCUACACCUUGGCCCGAAGGCCUCCAAACCCCAAACGCACCAACCUCAGGAUGGUUUCAGCGGUGCCACAGCUCUCCAAAGGCACGGAAUACCCGACCUCGUGGCCGAGGUUGACGUCCAUCUGGUCAGCCACGCGCAGGGCCAGCCCCAGGGCGGCCUGGCGGAGCACCUGCGUGCACACCACGGCCCUGCGGGGCCGCACGGCCAGGCAGUGCUCAGCACACCACUGCGGGACCUGCAGGGACACCAGGACACCAGGGGUUAGUGCUGGACCUGCUUAGCUGGGACUGGAAUUCCGAGCAAUUGGAAUUCUUUCAGCCCCAUGGAACAACUCAAUCAAGCUGGGUGCUCGCUGCUCGCCGGCGGCUGCGCCACGCACGGGAAUUAUCAAUGUCAGCACCUGGGAUCUCUUAAAUUCUCAACAGGGACUGGAAGGUUUAUCUGGGAAUUGUUCCGCUGGACUCAGGCGAGUUGGAAUUUACUGCAGAAGGGGCAGAAGUGGCCUCUGGGGAGCAGGUGACAGCAGGGUCACUAUGAGAAUGUGCUGAUGGAUCCAGCGAGCUCGGUGCUGUUGAGUUCCGAGCUGGCUCAGCAGCAAACCUGCCCCUGCUGCUCCAUACCCAUGGAAAACAUGUCCCAGGAAAAACAGGAUUUCAAGCUGACAAAUGUCACAGCCAGUAUCUGUAAUUUCAGAUGAAUUACUCUGCAAACAGAGAUAACUGAAACUGAACUGCUGCCGGAACUUACACAGCAGCUCUCUGAUUUAUAUAUUUACAUAACAUCAACACUAGAAAAUAUUCAUGUGUUGUUGUUAUGAGAAAUUAAAAUUGCAUUAUAAAUAUUAUUUUAAUGGACAUAUUAGGUUUCAAAUCCUUCAUUUAAACUAGGUGCAUCAACCACAUAUAAUUUAUUUCUGGAUAGUUAUAUGCUUUUCUAGAAAUGCUUAAAAACCAAGCAGCAAUGUGCUACAUCUUAUUAAAGGUUCAAUACAAAUUUCCUUGUUAAAGGGCAAUUUAAAAUCUAACAUUUCUUAGCAAGUUGUUUACUAUUACACAAGUUUUUUGUGUGUAAAUUACAGUCAAUAACAAGGGGUAAAUUCUUGGCACUCCAAAAGUUAUUCCAGGCCUCAGGUGGGUGUGUAUCAUUUUUAUUGGAAUGUAGGAAUUUUCAGGGAGAAGUGUGAUGUCUCUGGUUCAAUAUGUGAUCUCUAGAAACGUCCAGCAUUGAAGUCUCUAGGAUAUAUGAAAUGCCCUGCAACAGUAAAUAUCCUACAGCUUUACCUGCAAGAAAGUUUUCUCCUGAUCCCAGUCAUAAACAAUAAUAUCUUGGCUGGUAACACUUGAAAAUUCUUGUCUGCUCACUGUGACAACAGACCUGGGUUGUUAUAUAUUGUUAGAGCAGAAUUUCAUAGUCCUGGCUGAUAUUUGUGUGCUUAGACUCAACUGAGAUCUUGGCUUCAGUGAUGUCUUUUAACAUGAGUUUUGUAAAGUAAUUUUGUGCUGUUGCAGAGAACAUUUGCUCCUGGCUGAAGGGAGGGAAAGACCAUUAAUUCUCCCUGAGAAGCAGCCCUGCUGAUUUCAGUCCUUCACUCCCUGAGAAAUUUUUUCACCUUCUGACAAACCCCCUGUAUUUCUUUCCUGAUACAGCACCAAUCAGAACCAAAACUCAAAGUGGAAAUUUUUUUGAGUACUAGAAGAAAGUUAUUAAAAUGUUUAAUGUAUUUUAAAUCUGUA